GGAGCCAUGGCGCAAUGGUAGCGUAUCUCACUCCAGAUCAAAAGGUUGCGUGCUCGAUUCACGUCGGGUUCA
rfam:Cephalotus follicularis DNA, scaffold: scaffold38, isolate: St1.